GUGUGUGUGUGUGUGUGUGAGCGAGAGAGAGACACCUAUUACCGAAGAUAAAGUGGCAUUUUUGUUCUGUUAACAGACAGUAGUGAUUAUCUGUGAAGUACCAGCCAGGACAUGAUCUGAUUAAAGAGGUCCACAGGCGGUCGCCAGAAGCGAGAUGUGCAGGAUGUCCGUCACGUUACUCCGUUCAGCCUGUAUGGCUGAACACGGUGACAUCACACGCUGGGCGUGAGGACGCGCUUCUCUCUCGUCCCAGGGUAAAGAAGAACGACCACAAACGACGGGGUUCGAGGGAAGGUUCAGAGGCACGACAUGUGACUUACUGCUCUAUUUGAGGCCAAAACCAUGAGGCUGCGUGAAUAAAAGAAUACAGAACAUCGGAGCAAUAGGAUAUUGGAGGACGUUUUCAUUUUGGGACUGGGAAUACGUGAUGCCAUGCUGCCAAGUGACACCAACCAGUUAGUAGUAAGAAGAGCAGAUUAAAGAGGAGGAGCAGGAUCGAAAUGUACAAAAACGUUUAGGACAUUAUUCUUGAUUCAGUGUCGGUUCUGGAAUAGGUCGCUUAAAAAUGGUCAAAGUCAAAUCAAGAUGGCUGCAAAAUCAAGAGUAAAGUAAAGAGAGUAAAGAUUUAUUUUAGUCUUGAUUGGUAUGAAAGGAAGCAGUUGGAAGCUGAAGAAGCUGUCUGUCCCUUUAAGACAAUAAGCUGACAAUGUCCUCUGCCUAUUUCAAUACAACAAAGUCUGUUUUUGCCUAAAACCACAGAGUGAGAUUCUGUACUGUAAAAAAUGUCACAAUACCCUUUAGUCAUGACUGAAAUACUGUUUUAAACAUGGGCCAUUCUGUUUUAGUUUCCACCACAAUAAAAGAUAAAAAGGUC